AUUGAACGCUGGCGGCAUGCUUUACACAUGCAAGUCGAACGGCAGCGCGGGGGCAACCCUGGCGGCGAGUGGCGAACGGGUGAGUAAUGCAUCGGAACGUAUCCUGUAAUGGGGGAUAACGUAGCGAAAGUUACGCUAAUACCGCAUACGCUCGAGAGAGGAAAGUGGGGGAUCGCAAGACCUCACGUUAUAGGAGCGGCCGAUGUCUGAUUAGCUAGUUGGUGGGGUAAAGGCCUACCAAGGCGACGAUCGGUAGCUGGUCUGAGAGGAUGAUCAGCCACACUGGGACUGAGACACGGCCCAGACUCCUACGGGAGGCAGCAGUGGGGAAUUUUGGACAAUGGGCGAAAGCCUGAUCCAGCCCUGCCGCGUGCGGGAAGAAGGCCUUCGGGUUGUAAACCGCUUUAGUCCGGGAAAAAGGGGUGCGAGGAUAAUACCCUUGUGCUUUGAUGGUACUGGAAGAAUAAGCACCGGCUAACUACGUGCCAGCAGCCGCGGUAAUACGUAGGGUGUGAGCGUUAAUCGGAAUUACUGGGCGUAAAGCGUGCGCAGGCGGUCUUGUAAGACAGUCGUGAAAGCCCCGGGCUUAACCUGGGAACUGCGAUUGUGACUGCAAGGCUAGAGUGUGUCAGAGGGGGGUGGAAUUCCACGUGUAGCAGUGAAAUGCGUAGAGAUGUGGAGGAACACCGAUGGCGAAGGCAGCCCCCUGGGAUAACACUGACGCUCAUGCACGAAAGCGUGGGGAGC
rnacentral:rRNA from 1 species